GAUUAGAGACGGGCAAAUACUAAAAACAAAGACCAUCAUUAGAAAAUACAGGAGGUAAAGAGUUUUGCAUGGAUUGUUGAUUUUCAUAAAUUACAAGGCAUAAAAGUUGAAUCCUAUUUUAAUGCAUUAAAAUAAUAAUAAAAUUUGAAUGGGAAAGAAAUGAAAGUAAAAAAACUGGAAAUACAAAAAUUGCAACUUUAAACCGUAAAGAGAAAAUGAACAAAGAAUAUAAUGGUAUAUUUAACAGAAAAUAUAAAAUUCAUUUGUAAAACAGAAAUAAGAUUCGAGAAUUGGCAGAUUUUUUGCAUCUUGUUCCUCCUCUCUUUUAUUUUUAUUUAUUUUGCAGAGUAAUUUCGAAGGUUUGGGGAAUAUGUAAAAACAUGAUCGAAAUAAAAGGAAAACGAAAUAUUGGUUGCUGAGGUGGCACUGUACUGGUUGCAAAACAAGGAGUCCAUUCUAAUUAGAUACUUAUAAGUAUUAAAUUAAUAAAUACUUAUAAGUUAAAAGAUUUUUUUUCUGUCUCCUUGUAAUGCGUUUUUAAGAAGAAAAUAUUUGUUAUUCUUUUUUCGUUUCGGCAUUUCAAGUAAACCACAGUGUUUACAAAACAAAAUUCCAUCCUCUUUUAUUUUUUUAACGUCGCAAUUCUCAGCCUCCACUCUUUUACUUAUUAUUAUUUGGGUUCUAAACCUAGAGAACAUGUCUCGCUGCUAUCCACAAGCCCUUGAUCUGUGUGUUCCACCCACACGUAACAAGAAAACUUCUCAUGCACCUUACCCCGACAUCUCUUCUCUUCCUCACAUUUCUAUGUACUAUGCCUAUCUCUCACUCCCCAAUCCUGCCCUAAUGGCUCUGUUUCUCUGUAAGAGUAGUCAAGACCAAGUCACAAAUCUAAUGUCCUCUGAUCUGUCUUGGAGGACAGUAACUCUGAGUAUGGACUUAGAUUGUGAUCUGUUCAAUCUAUGCUAGCAUGAAAAAUGCUUGUCCAAUGAUGAUGAUGAUGAUGAUGUACCUGAUAUGAUAGUACUACCAUCACAAUCAUCUUCAACAUUACAUGUUCUUCCAUGGAUUACAUGGAUCUUCACCAACACAAUAUCUUUCCAGUUGUCCCUAUUCACCAACCACCUUAAGGCCCAAAAUUCUGAAAUUGUCUUUCACAACUUUUGUUCAUCCACCCACUAUUACUGGGAGGGACACAGGGGUAGAGUCCUGGUAUCUCCAUAGAGUCCUAUUGGAAGCAUCUGUCAUUAGACUUUCUGGCUGGAUUUCCAAGCAUAAUCAACUGAAACUAUGGACAUUAUCAAACCAUCUCGUUCUUCAUCUACCUAUAAGUCUAGUACUGAUUGGCUCAGCUUGAAGAAUCUUGUGAUUCUUGCCACAUCCUGAUCAUAUGUCUGAGCUGUGAAAUCUCAAAGUGGAGAAGUAGUGGUUUAACCUGGAGAGGCUCCCUGGUUUCCAAGCUAUGCACCCAGAUUCUUCUGCUCCCUAAUCUUUCACUUCCUCAAUUUCCUUUCACUUUUAUCCCUUGGCUUUAUUUUUUUACCCAAUGAGCGCAUCUCCCUGCAACCUAAAUUCUUCAUUGAACUGACCUUCAUUUCACUGACAGCAUCUCCGUAUCUUGCUUGCAUGGUUCUCACAGUUAUUCAUCUGCACCCAGUUUUACGAUAGACUACACAGCAUGAAACCUUACCCAAGGCCCCUUCAAUGUCAGCCACGAUUAUCUUCAUUCCUUUUUCUUUCUAUUCUUUCUUUCCAUCUCUUUCUCUGUAUAUUAUUCUUUGUAACGAAAUGUGUGAAUAUCUUCUCUGGACCUUUUGGGGGUGCGAGAAGCAAUCACUUUCCGUUGCUUUAAUAAUCCAGAUUCUCUACCAGUCAGAAACAACAAGACGCAGACGUAAAAAAUAUAUAUCUACUUUAUUCUCUUAUGACAGUAACCAAUAAGUGGUGUAUCUGGGUAUCCCUUUGGUAUAGAUGUGUCAGAGCUGAACUAUAUCGCUGUAGAAUUUACAAAGUUCAAAUGCUAACGACACUGGUCAAAGAUGGCGUCCGGAAAGAAGAAGAUGAUGUUGUCUGCAACAAUUUGGUUAAAGCCUUCGGCCGACUGCUAUCAUAAAGGGACAGCGAGAAAAUAUACGUCCGUUGCCCUCGGUCGCUUUGUCUCAAGUCAAUGACUGCUGCUGGACACUAGUGGUCAACGUCCUACGAUCCCCUUGCCUCGGCUAACUGCCACGUAGGCAAAAAGGUCCUUCUUCCGGGGCUUCGCGCAUGCACCGCUGUAUAGCGUCACUACAUCUUCUUCUGCUUUAGCUUGCUUCACAGAUUCAUUUUUCUUUUCAUUCAACUCAAGUGGAUGUAUUUUCCUAUGUGUGUGUAUACAUAAAUAUGUAUAUGUAUAUGUGAGGGCGUGUGGCUUAGUGGUUAGGGCAUUCGGCUCAUGAUCGUAAGGUUGUGAGUUCGAUUCCCGGCGACGCGUUGUGUCCUUGAGCAAGACACUUUAUUUCACGUUGCUCCAGUCCACUCAGCUGGCAAAAAUGAGUUGUACUUGUAUUUCAAAGGGUCAGCCUCUGUGUCACGCUGAUUAUCCCCGAGAACUACGUUAAGGGUACACGUGUCUGUGGAAUGCUCAGCCAUUUGCACGUUAAUUUCACGAGCAAGCUGUUCCGUUGAUCGGAUCAGCUGGGACCCUCGUCGUCGUAACCGGCGGAGUCUUUAAUAUGUAUAUAUAUGCAUGUGUCAGUGUCAGUUCUUGUGCCAAUGCUUCUCCUGUACCUCCCUCCCCUCCACACCUUGGAAUCGAUAUUCUGUCUCUCCCGUCACACACACGCUCUUCUGAUGUUGUUCCUCUAUAACCGUUACCUGCACUCCCCACUUUCCACCGAUAUCAAACAAACCCAAUUUCAACACUCCACUAACACCAACCUCUGCUCGCUCACCAUUUAUACAUUACCAUCACUGCUAGCUUCCAUAAAAAAAAUCCUUUUUUAAAGGAUUGCACACAAUCUUUGAGGAUACACUGGCAUGACAACUUCGUCUAAGGUUUUCCUUUCAUCACAUGGAAACAUUAUCAACCUGGACAUCAUUCACAGAUCUCAAUAAAACAAAAGAACAUUUGUUUGUUUUUAUUAGAUUGUUGUGGAAUUUUGAAAAGUUUUUUCCGAGUCAUCACUUCUGUUUGUUUGCUCUAUCCUAAAAAAAAUACAUUGAGAACACUCCGGGUUUAUAAAAACAUUUAAAAUAAUCAUUAAAAAAAUCUGUUUGAAUACAAGGGCUACUACAAUACCUGCAAAUAAAGCAACAAUAUUUGAGCCCUUAUUUCCUGUAUAUUAUUUCCUUUACAAACAAUAACUCUGGGUACCUUCUCAAACUCCACCUGUCUAACCCGGGGACACCUUUUCAAACUCCACCUGUCUAACACCCGUGGACAUGUUUACAAAGUCAGAAAACAGCACAGCUCCUUCCAUGACUUUCAGAAACAUUUUUUCAUGCUAAGAGUUGCUGAAGCAUGGAACAAACUGCCGGCAUCAGUUGUUAGUUGUCAGAGCACUGCAUCCUUCAAAACUUCCAUGCUUCCUGAGAUUCGCCAACACUACACCUGAUUUUCUCCCCUCCAUACACACGCAAGCAUGUAUCUGACUCAUACACUGUUCACUUUCAGACAUUUGUACAUUACUGCAUAUACUCUAUACGCACUUUUGACAAGUUGUGGUGCACCUGAGCACUGUAUACAAUAAUUUCAUUAUUAUUAUUGUAAGUAGGAAGGUAGACAAAUCACAAAUGCCUUCAGGUAGAUGGCCCUGCUCGAUCUGUAGAAAAGGUGUAGGUAGAAACUCUAUAAAAUGCACCAAGUGUAAGCUAUGGACACAUAAGAGAUGCAGCAAUGUCAAAGGAAGGCUAACUAGGAAAAUAGUUUUUGUAUGUGGCAGAUGCUCAGGAGCAAUAAACACUGAAAAUGCGCAGAGACCAACAUCCGCCACAUUCCAGGGAGAAAAACUAGAAGUAGUUAAUAGCUUCCGUUACCUAGGUGACCAAGUCAGUAGUGGGGGAGGCUAUAAGAAUAGCCUGGGCAAAGUUCAGACAGCUCUUACCUCUGCUGGUGACAAAGGGCCACUCGCUCAGAGUAAAAGGCAGACUGUAUGAUGCAUGUGUACGAACAGCCAUGCUACAUGGUAGUGAAACAUGGGCUGUGACUGCUGAGGAUAUGCGUAAGCUCGCAAGAAAGGAAACCAGUAUGUUCCGAUGGAUGUGUAAUGUCAGUGUACAUACUCAACAGAGUGUAAAUACCUUGAGAGAAAAGCUGGACCUAAGAAGCAUCAGAUGUUGUGUGCAAGAGAGACGUUUGCACUGGUAUGGUCAUGUGGUGAGAAUAGAUGAAGAUAGUUGUAUGAAAAAGUGCCACACCCUAGCGGUUGAGGGCACCUGUGGAAGAGGUAGACCCAGGAAAACCUGGGACGAGGUGGUGAAGCACGACCUUCGAACUUUAGGUCUCACUGAGGAAAUGACUAGAGACCGAGACCUUUGGAAGUAUGCUGUGCGUGAGAAGACCCGGCAGGACAAGUGAGACUAUAACCCGUGGCCUUUACCUGGGAUGUAGCCAGUCCACUUAUGCAUACCUUUCCUUCUUGGGAGACAAAACUCUACUUGUGAAGACCUGUUGAGGCAAGUGAGAAUCAGAAUCGAAAUCGAUCAACAUCAAUGGAAAUUGUAGCUGUGAUACCAGCACCGGUGGCACGUAAGAGAACCAUCCGAACGUGGCUGUUGCCAGCGCUGCCCCGACUGGCCUCCAUACCAGUGGCACAUAAAAAGCACCAUUCAAUCGUGGCCUUUGCCAGCCUCGCCUGGCAUGUAAAAAGCACCCACUAUACUCACGGAGUGGUUGGCGUUAGGAAAGGCAGCCAGCCGUAGAAACAUUGCCAGAUCAGACUGGGCCUGGUGCAGCCAAUCUGGCUUCCCAUACCCCAGUUGAACCGUCCAACCCAUGCUAGUAUGGAAAGCAGACGCUAAACGAUGAUAAUGAUGAUUAUUAUAUCUAUGAUAGCAUUCAAGAAAAGGAUUGCUGUGCGCCUCCUCUCAGCAAAGUGACUGGUUUCAGUUACAGUCUUGUGUGUUUUAUGGGUGGAUGGAGGAACUCUUACGCCAACUGGACAACACUAAUAGAUAUGACCCCUUCCUCCAAUAUUGUUUCCUUGUCAUUACCACAUCCAUCUUGUCUCACAAGUUGCCCCAACUAUUGCUGCCAAUCCAGUCAACAUCAUCUACUUCAACCUCCACAGCCACACAACUGUCUCUCUCCUUCAUCUAUGUAUUUCUGAUGUUUGUUUUCCUGUUAUUUUCAGUCUCUCUGGUUGUUAUCACACUUUCUAAUAUGUCAGCAUUGAAAUAUCAUUUUUUUAUUUUUCUAUAUUUCAGGGUAUUUGAAAACUAAAGAUGUUAUCAAGGAAACAAGAGACUUUAUUUGUAUCUCUUCAGUUCUGUCUCCGUGAAACAUUUCUCAUGGAUUCCAAUAUAUAUCCUUCAUUGGCAGCACAUAAUUACAGAGAUCCCAUAAUAUUUUUCUGGUGAUGUAUCAACAACAUUUAUUGAGGCUUUCCUCUUGCGAAAUGUCUUUCAUAACUUUAAAUGACUGAUGUCUAAGUUCAAGAUUCCAUCUUACCCAGUUCCCUUAUGACUG
rnacentral:lncRNA from 1 species